rnacentral:rRNA from 1 species
UAAGACGAACCGUGCAAACGUUAUUCGGAAUCACUGGGCUUAAAGGGCGCGUAGGCGGGCCGCCAGGUCCGGGGUGAAAGCCUCCAGCUCAACUGGAGAAGUGCCUUGGAUACCGGCGGCCUCGAGGGAGGUAGGGGCGUGCGGAACUUCGGGUGGAGCGGUGAAAUGCGUAGAUAUCCGAAGGAACACCGGUGGCGAAAGCGGCGCGCUGGAUCUCUUCUGACGCUGAGGCGCGAAAGCCAGGGGAGCAAACGGGAUUAGAUACCCCGGUAGUCCUGGCCCUAAACGUUGGGUACUAGGUAGCGGCCUUACAUGGGGUCGCUGCCGAAGCAAAAGUGUUAAGUACCCCGCCUGGGGAGUAUGGUCGCAAGGCUG